rnacentral:lncRNA from 1 species
GCUCCAUAUUUUUAGCUCUGAGAAGCUAAUUCAGUGAACAUCGCACCUCAAUCAAUUGUUCCCUUCUUUUGCCUUCUCUUUGCAUUUUGAACACACUAUCACUAUAUGCAACAUGAUGCACAACUAUUUGCAUUUAGUCUCUUCAACUAGGACUGAGCUUAAAAGGACCUAUAUUUUAUUCAAUGUUUAUAUACUCAGCAUCAAGCAUGGUGCCUAGCAUAGCAGGUGCAAUCAAUGAAGGCUUAUGUAUACUAAAAUUAAUCCCUGAUGGGCUUAAAGAGCAUUACACAUUUCAUUCAUUAACCUUCAGAAAAUCCUUAUAAAUCAGGCAGAUACUACUAGUGAUUUAAUUAGCAAAUUAGAGCUUAUUUAUAGAUAAUCCAAAGAAUAUGUAGGAAAGUGAUUUCUCUAAAGGCCAUGUUGUUAGGCAAAAAUAAACAUUAGGUCCUGGGGUUGUAGCUCAAUGGUGGAGCUUUUGCCUAGUCCAUAUGAAACACUGGGUUCAAUCUUCAGCACCACAUAAAAGAAAUAAGGGAAUUGUAUCCAUCUACAACUAAAAAAUAAAAUAAAAAUAAAAAUUAGUGGGUCAUUCUGAUUCUUUCUGAAGAGAAAGAAUAUGAGUUAUGCUGGGUGGGGUGGUGCACACCUGUCUAUAGUCCCAGCUACUCAGGUGGAUGAGGCAGGAGGAUUGCUUGAGCCCAGGAGUUCAAGACCAGCCUGAGCAAUAGAGGGACACUCUGUCAAAAAAUAAAAAAUAAAAUGAGUUGGUGCUAUCUAUGAUUCCUGCUCUAUAAAUCAGAACUCCACUUUUGAUGAUCCACACCGAUGCUUAAAAGACACACAGAACUAAGACCCACCCUCAUUGGACAGGAAAAAUCAGUAAUUAUGAUUGAGAUUUUAAAAUAUUAAAAAAUUUGAUCUAUAUCACCAAGUCCAAGUUUGAUGGAUAAUAUUCAUGGUUGAAAUAAUUAGAACAAAAUCAUGUUUUGCUUUUUUUUAUCUUAUUUUUCACUUUUUUUUUGGGGGGGGUGUACUGGGGCACUAGACCACUGAGCCACGUCCCCAGCCCUAGUUUGUAUUUUAUUUAGAGACAGGAUUUCACUGAGUUGCUUAGUGCCUCACCUUUGCUGAAGAUGGCUUUGAUUUUGUGAUCCUCCCAUCUCAGUCUCCUGUACCACAGGGAUUACAGGCGUGCACCACCAUACCUGCUCAUUUUUCACUUUUUAUUUGAUGUUUCCAUAAAGAUUCUUACAUCAAUUAUCUCAAAUGCAACUAUUAUAGUUUGGAUAUGAGGUGUCUCCCCAGAACUCCUGUGUUAAUGCAUGUUGAGGUAAAAUGAUUAUGAGAGUUGUAACCUAAUUGAUCCAUCCUAGUUUGAAUGGACUGACUGGGUGGUAACUGUAAAGGUGGCUGGAGGAGGUGGGUCACUGGAGGAAUACCGUGGAAGAGUUAUUCUUUCUGUGAUUCCUUUCCCUCUUACUUUCUUGUUCUGCUUCCUGACUCUACUAGCAGCUUUCCUCCGAUGGGUCCUUCUGCCAUGAUGUCCAACCUCAUUUGGAGUCCACAGCAAUGGAGUCAGCCAUCCAUCAACUGAGCCCUUGGAAACUGAGAGCCCCAAGCAAAUUUUCUGCCUCCAAGUCAUUUUUUGUUGGGUGUUUUGGUCAUAGUGACAAUAAAACUAACAGAGACCAUGCAAAGCAAUUCAGUGUAUACGGACACUUCAGUGUACUCCCCUUCAGUUUUGGUGUUUCAUAAAACAACCUGAUUAACUGAAAACUGGCUGGUACCUGCUUCGCUGGAGAACGCCAUCUAUUUAGAAAAAACAACAUGCAGGGCAGUUUCU